rnacentral:rRNA from 1 species
CCUACGGGCGGCAGCAGUGAGGAAUAUUGGUCAAUGGGCGCGAGCCUGAACCAGCCAAGUAGCGUGAAGGAUGACUGCCCUACGGGUUGUAAACUUCUUGUAUAAAGGAAUAAAGUGAGGCACGUGUGCCUUUUUGUAUGUACGUUAUGAAUAAGGAGCGGCUAACUCCGUGUCAGCAGCCGCGGUAAUACGGAGGAUCCGAGCGUUCUCCGGAUUUAUUGGGGUUAAAGGGAGCGUAGAUGGGUUGUUAAGUCAGUUGUGAAAGUUUGCGGCUCACCCGUAAAAUUGCAAUUGCUACUGGCAGUCUUGCGUACCGUUGCGGUCGGCGGAAUUCGUGGUGUAGCGGU